CUCCAGUCCAAAUUUGGAAGUCUACCAAUUAACAAUUUCUAGUCAUAAAAACCACAUUUGAUACGCCCCGAAUUCUCAAAACAGCAAAACAAUGUCAUUACCAUUUAAAGGAGGCUACAGGGAGGGGAGGAAAUGAAAUGCCUGAAAUAUACAUUUUAAAGCAUAAAAUUAAAUAGUUUUUUGAAAUACAGGAAAUAACAUUAUUGUAGUCAACUUCCACCCAAAAAUGGUCAACCAACAAGAUCUUAUGUGGGGUACUGAAAAAUCUCAUUUGCCACCCAAGGUUGGGAACUGCCCGCGGUCUUCUAUGGAAGGGGCUGCCACAUUGCUCAUUGUAUCUCUGUUGCUGAACCCUCUGGCACCACGGCCACGCCCUCGACCACGACCACCUGGGCUAUAGUACCUUUCCCCUUCAGCAGGCUUCAAGAACUCGUUAAUGCUGACAGACUAGAACCAUCAAAACAUUUCAGCUCUACUGAUCAGUAUUUACUUGUAGACAGGAACAUUUAAUAAUAAAAUAAACAAGGAAAGAGUCGUUAUUCCAGUUCUUACACAAGCCAGUACUAACAGACUCCUAUAUUUAAAAAAUAAGAGCAAACAAGAAGCCUCCAUGAAAGUUUGCGAAUCAUUGUUCAUGCUCCUCAUGAGCACAAUAGAAUAGUAAUGUAAAGAAGUGCAAGGCACUGACGAUUUCAAUCUGCCUAUUUCAAUACAAUCACAAUAUUGCUGAAGAUAACCACAUAGAAACAAAAUAAACAUUUAACUAAUAUAUGUUAAAUUCUGGAAUGCAAAAGCAUGUUGUAAACAUAGGGAAGAAGAAGAAGGAAAAAGGUUGGGGCUGAAGGGUAGUACCUUUUUAGCUCUCUCAUCCUUCUCAAAAGCCUCUUUCCGCUUAUCCUUAUCAGAGCCCUUGAAAAUGGACAUUAAAAGAAAAAAAACAUUUAAUUUAUUUGCUGAUGGCUUCACACUAUCAAUGGAUACUGGAUAGUUAAUAACUAAAAAGGGAUCACAACAUAGUUCACCAAUUUAAUAAAGAUGUCAUCAUUCUCCUUCUUGCUUGAAAGCUGCUGCAUGGAUUCAAAUGCUUUAGCAUCCACCUUUCUUUCCUCAGCCUUGUGUGCCUGCAGGGCCUUCCUCUUCUCUUCCAGUACCUUCUCAUACUCUUCAAGAGUCAUUUCCUAAAUAGAAUGAAAGAAGUACCAUAAGCCAUAAACAUACAAUAUCCUAGAACUUGCUACUGAUUGACAAAAAGAGAAAGAAGUUGGAUUUUUUAUUCCCAGAGUUACAUUGUUACUUUAAUAAUUAGGCAGUUAGCAGCUGGAGUUCAUAGACAAUACAUUUUAACAUUUAUAAACACGAAUCAGUCCAAGUACCAAGAACACAUUCUAGAGGCUUUUAAGACAACCCCACAGCUUCAGAACAGCAGUCCAAGACAUGAAUGGAUAAUAAAAGAAAGCUUUCACUUGAACUAGAUAACCUGAGGAUUGGAAACUCAGUCUGCCACAUUUAGAACUUUUGGCAGCAGAACAAAUAUGGCUAUGGAUAAACCUUGAACUUAGCAAUUACAAAAUGUCCAACUACUACUCAUAGAAAGCAACGCCUAAAAUGUAAUCUUAAUGGCAUUUGUUUCAUCCUCAUAACAACACAUUUUAAGAAAUGACAAUCAGGAAACAUUAAAAGAUCAACCUUUAGGUAAUAUGCGUCCUCUUUUGGAUAAAAGAAACCAAAAAUAAAAUAAAAAGCAAUACAGGCAAAUAAAACAUCUUUGAUAACUUAAUAUGUAAGAACAUUCACCUUAUCUUUGGGUUCCUUUUCUUCAGGUUCAUUAGCAGCACCCUCCUUAUUAGAAUCUACUGUUUCCCCCUCUCCAAUGGGCUUCUCAUCACCCAAGUUUUUCUCACCCUCAUUGACAGCUUCCUCUGUCACCCUAAAAUAGCAAAAAUAAUAAUUAAUCACUGCCCCCCAAAAAAAUGCAAAUAUCAAAUAGGGUUCUAACUGUUUAUGAAAAGUUCAUCUAUAGUCACUAACUGAGCAAGUUCAUCAGCCUGGUUUCCCCAGUUUCCACGACCAGACCCCUCUCGUUUGAUCUCAUUUCCGCGUCCAGUCCCACUACGGCGUUCAAAUUGCCGAUGAGGGCGAUCUCCAUCGCCAACUUCCCCAUUAGUGAAACCACCACCACGACCACCACUGCGGUAACCACCACCACGAGUUCCACCAUAUCCCCGCCUUUCAGAGGGCUUUGCAGCAUCUCCAUCUUCAGGGGCACCUUGACCAGCCGGUCCUCCAGCAUUACUGAAUGAAUUCUCAUUGUUGGCGUCCCGACUGUAUCCACCACGACCGCGCCCAUAUCCGCGUCCCCCACCACGACCUCCUCCACGGCUAGCUUCAUUCUUUGCCUCCCUCACAGCCUGAGCCGGAGGUACGGGCUUGGAGGGGAGCUUAGACGACUGCUUGGCUAGAGGCUGAGGCUGAGAUUUCUUAGGAGGAGCGGCGGCGGCGGCGGCCUUCAGCUGCUGAGCUGCGAUCAGCUGCGUAAGGUCCUCGGCGUCAUCGUCAACCAACAAAUCGAAAGGGUUCAAAGUCGCCAUUUGAGAUGAAAAAAUCAGCGGAGAAGAGCAAAACCCCCAAAACACUCGAGGAUUCUACUUGGAAAGGCGACUAGGAAACCCUAAGUAAACAAGUCCUCCAUGGUAAAAUUAUACACAGAGAUCUGUAAACAAGAGGGGAUUGGAUUGAGUUAGAGAGAGGAAAGAGAAUAAGGUAGAGAGAGAAAUAGAGAAACCCUAGCCGCAAUAGAAGAGUGAGCUAGCGAGUGAAACCUAAUCUCAAUUUAUCGUUGUUCUAGUUGCUGCUGUUGC
rnacentral:misc_RNA from 1 species